rnacentral:rRNA from 16 species
GCGGCGGACGGGUGAGUAACACGUGGGCAACCUACCUGUAAGACUGGGAUAACUUACGGAAACGUGAGCUAAUACCGGAUAGUUUCACUUCUCGCAUGAGAAGUGAAGGAAAGAUGGCUUUUAGCUAUCACUUACAGAUGGGCCCGCGGCGCAUUAGCUAGUUGGUGGGGUAAAGGCCUACCAAGGCAACGAUGCGUAGCCGACCUGAGAGGGUGAUCGGCCACACUGGGACUGAGACACGGCCCAGACUCCUACGGGAGGCAGCAGUAGGGAAUCUUCCGCAAUGGACGAAAGUCUGACGGAGCAACGCCGCGUGAGCGAAGAAGGUCUUCGGAUCGUAAAGCUCUGUUGUUAGGGAAGAACAAGUACCGGAGUAACUGUCGGUACCUUGACGGUACCUAACCAGAAAGCCACGGCUAACUACGUGCCAGCAGCCGCGGUAAUAC